CACACUAGUAGGCGGGAAAAGUUCGCGCACUAUUACUGCGCAGAUCGUCGGCCAUUUUGUGCGUAGUACCAGACAAUGUAGAAAAUCGACAGUGUUGCCGAUUUGUACAUAAUUAUCAGAUUUACUUAACUUUUAUGACAUUCAUAUUUUUUAACAUAAUUUUAUACGUAUGCCUGUGGGAAUUAUGUCAAUAAUUGGGACAUAACACAAAAUAUUGACGAUGAAUGGCGAUUGUAUUGUUAAUCUUUUGCAUAAAUUCCAGAAAUUAUUCAAAAAUAAUCUCUUACAGGUAAUAAAGUUGGUGACAUCGGCAACACUGAUGAACCAACACAUCACAUCACCACUGGAUGUACUACGCGAAAAAUGGCGACCCUGUACUUUUCAACUUCAAAGGCGGCAUCAGGGAGUGUCCUUGCUGGUUUCGGUUAUUAUGCUGUGGUUUAAGUCUGCCUGCGCCUGCCUCUGCUUAAUAUUUUAUAAAUAAGUGAAUGUGAAACAUAGGUGGCUGUGGUGUAACCAAGUGAAUCAUAAAAUCAUGUUUAAUCAAACUGAAGUAAAACAAGAGGUAGCUGAGACAACUUGCAAAAGAGAAAUAGAAAUAAUAGAUAAUGAAGUUCUACUGGAUACCAACGAGGAUACCUUUAAAACCGAAUUUAAGGAUGAUGCUACCAGGGAAAUUACUAGUACUAAUACAAAUAAUGAUACAUUUGAUGAUUUAGACGUUAAGAAAUGCGAUAUAAAAGCUAAAAUAGAACAAGAUGAUGGUCUCUGUUGUAAAGAUAUGAAAACGGAUGUCAGUAGCCUCUUAACAAAUGAUGAUAAAAGUGACAGUAACCUGAACCAAUACAUAGUUUCCCAUACCAAUGUAAACACUGAAGGACAAAGUUUUAUAUAUAUCAUUUGCAAGAAACCAUUGUCAAGCAAUUCUAGUUUAGAACAACAUAUGAGGACACACACUGAUGAAAAACCAUUUGAAUGUGAAAUUUGUUUCAAACAAAUUUCAACGAAACACGCUUUAAAAUCACAUAUGAAAGUGCAUACUGGUAAAAAACCAUUUGAAUGUGCAAUUUGCGCCAAAAAGUUUUCAACGAAAACAGCUUUAAAAUUGCAUAUGAGAGUGCAUACUGGUGAAAAACCAUUUGGAUGUGAAAUUUGCAACAAACAAUUUUCAACAAAGGGUUCUUUAACAGUACAUAUGACCGUGCAUACUGGUGAAAACCCAUUUGAAUGUGAAAUUUGCAAUAAAUACUUUUCAACAAAGAGUUAUUUAAGAAUUCAUAAGAAAUUGCAUUCUGGUGAAAAACCGUUUCAAUGCGCAAUCUGCUACAAGAAGUUUUCAAACAAACGACUUUUAAAAUCGCAUAUCCAAUCGCAUAUCCAAUCGCAUAUUAGAGUGCCUACUACUGGUGAAAAACCAUUUGAAUGUAAAAUUUGCACCAACAAAUUUUCACACAAGGGUAAUUUAAGAACACAUAUGAAAUUGCAUUCUGACGAAAAACCAUUUGAGUGUGAAAUUUGCAACAAAAAAUUUUCUUUAAAGGACUAUUUAAAAAGACAUUUUAUGUCAGUGCAUGCUGAUGAAAAACCGUUUAAAUGUGAAAUUUGCACCAAACAGUACUCAACGAAACGACAAUUUAAAUGUCAUAUGAUAUGGCAUACUGGUGAAAGACCAUUUGAAUGUGCAAUCUGCCCAAGAAAAUUUUCAACAAAGGAUAAUUUAAAAUCACACUUGAGUGUGCAUAAUGACGUGAAAGUGCAUACUGAUGUGAAAGUGCAUACCGACGACAAACUAUUCGAAUGUCAAAUUUGCACCAAACAAUUUUCUAAAAAGCCGUAUUUAAGAGCACAUUUAAGAGUGCAUACUGAUGACAAACCAUUUGAAUGUGAAAUUUGCACCAAACGGUUUUCAACGAAACCACUUUUAAGAUCACAUAUGACAGUACAUACUGGCGAAAAGCCAUUUAAGUGUGAAAUUUGCGCCAAACAAUUUUCAAAAGGCAGUAAUUUAAAAGUACAUAUGGCAGUGCAUCGUGGUGACAAUUCAUUUGAAUGUGAAAUUUGCACCAAACAGUUAUCAACGAAACAAGCUUUAAACUAUCAUAUGAGCGUGCAUACUGGUGAAAAACCAUUUAAAUGCGAAAUUUGCAUGAAACAGUUUUCAAUGAAAACACUUUUGAAAUUGCAUUUGAGAGUGCAUACUGGUGAAAAACCAUUUGAAUGUGAAAUUUGCACCAAACAGUUUUCAACGAAACAUGUUUUAAAAUCACAUAUGACAGUGCAUCCUGGUGAUAAACCAUUUGAAUGUGAAAUUUGCCCCAAACAGUUUUCAACGAAGACACUUUUGAAAUCGCAUAUGAGAGUGCAUACUGGUGAAAAACCAUUUGAAUGUGCAAUUUGCGCCAAAAAAUGUUCAACAAAGAGUAAUUUAAAAGUACAUAUUAUGAGAGCGCAUACUGCUUAAAAACUAUUUUGAAAAGUGGAAUUAACACCAAACAAUAUUUUCAACGAAACAAGUUUUAAAAUCACACAUUGCGUCCUGGUGAAAUUUGCGCCAAACAGUUUUCAAUAUACCGAUUUGAAUGCCAUACUUAAAAUUCAGCUAAACCAUUCUUUAUGUAGGGAGAUAGUUGGUCAGCCUGUAAAGGAUUUAUCCAUCCAUGGAAGGCAUCCAAAAAAUAAGAGUAUUUAAUCGAUUUACUUUUUAAAAGUCUUCAGUAAAUAUUAUACACAUGCAUUGUUUGAUUUUGUAAAUGGGUGGUAUUCAUUUGUGUAAUUUAGGCCACACAUAUUGAAAACAGCAAGUCACCAAUAAUGCUGCUAUUAGUAAUUCACGGUCACAUUAAAGUAUAGUUAAUCAUAACAAACAAAUACGAUUUAUUUAUAGAUACGUAGAAAAAUAGACAUAUUAUUCAUUAUUUAGAAACAGACUUGGUUAACUGUAAUUCUUAGUGAGUUAAAUAAAUAAAUUCAAGUAUUUAGUGUUUCAACCUAAUCAACCCCAAAACCGGGGAUGGCAACCCCGAACCAUCAUCUGGCGAUCUAGACCAGACGGACUUGGGAAACAGGAAUAAAGAUGGCGAGAAUUUGGAACUGGAGGAAAAGAAGGAAAAUCGUAGUAAAGUACCAAUCCUUAUUACACAAUAUCGUUAGAUGGAGAAUGGUAUAAGGAAUGGGAGAGACUAUAUGGAAUUGGAGAGACCUAACCACAGGGUAGUAAUGGUAGACAUCGACAUGGACGAAGGGUUGGAGACAUUUCUUCUUUUUCGGAAGGGCAGAGAAAAUAAUGUACAUCUUCUCAGAAAUUUUUUCUUGUAAGGGAUGGGGAUGUAAAGAAUUUAUAUUAGCAUCCAAAAAAUAAGAGUAUUUAAUCGAUUUAAUUUUUAAAAGUCUUAGGUAAAUAUUAUACACAUGCAUUUUUUGGAUUUCGUAAAUGGGUGGCAUUGAUUUAUGUAAUCUAGGCCACACAUAUUGAAAACAGCAAGUUACCAAUAAUGCUGCUAUUAGUAAUUCACGGUGACAUUAAAGUAUAGUCAAGCAUAAACAAAUACGAUUUAUUUAUAGAUACGUAGAAAGAUAGACAGAUUAUUCAUUAUUCAGAAACAGACUUGGUUAGAGUCGAGGUGUCCAUCCAUCCAACACCAACUAGUUACUGUAAUACAUACUU
rnacentral:misc_RNA from 1 species